rnacentral:rRNA from 1 species
GACGAACGCUGGCGGCGUGCUUAACACAUGCAAGUCGAGCGGAAAGGCCACUUCGGUGGUACUCGAGCGGCGAACGGGUGAGUAACACGUGAGUAAUCUGCCCCUGGCUUUGGGAUAGCCACCGGAAACGGUGAUUAAUACCGGAUACGACCACUUCUCGCAUGGGAUGGUGGUGGAAAGUUUUUUCGGCCAGGGAUGUGCUCGCGGCCUAUCAGCUUGAUGGUGGGGUAAUGGCUCACCAUGGCUUCGACGGGUAGCCGGCCUGAGAGGGUGACCGGUCACGCUGGGACUGAGACACGGCCCAGACUCCUACGGGAGGCAGCGGUGGGGAAUAUUGGACAAUGGGCGGAAGCCUGAUCCAGCAACGCCGCGUGAGGGAUGACGGCCUUCGGGUUGUAAACCUCUUUCAGCAGGGACGAAGCGCAAGUGACGGUACCUGCAGAAGAAGCACCGGCCAACUACGUGCCAGCCGCCGCCGUAA